GACGAACGCUGCGGCGUGCCUAAUACAUGCAAGUAGAACGCUGAAGAGAGGAGCUUGCUCUUCUUGGAUGAGUUGCGAACGGGUGAGUAACGCGUAGGUAACCUGCCUUGUAGCGGGGGAUAACUAUUGGAAACGAUAGCUAAUACCGCAUAACAAUGGAUGACACAUGUCAUUUAUUUGAAAGGGGCAAUUGCUCCACUACAAGAUGGACCUGCGUUGUAUUAGCUAGUAGGUGAGGUAACGGCUCACCUAGGCGACGAUACAUAGCCGACCUGAGAGGGUGAUCGGCCACACUGGGACUGAGACACGGCCCAGACUCCUACGGGAGGCAGCAGUAGGGAAUCUUCGGCAAUGGGGGCAACCCUGACCGAGCAACGCCGCGUGAGUGAAGAAGGUUUUCGGAUCGUAAAGCUCUGUUGUAAGUCAAGAACGAGUGUGAGAGUGGAAAGUUCACACUGUGACGGUAGCUUACCAGAAAGGGACGG
rnacentral:rRNA from 1 species